AACGAACGCUGGCGGCAGGCUUAACACAUGCAAGUCGAACGCAUCCUUCGGGGUGAGUGGCAGACGGGUGAGUAACGCGUGGGAAUCUACCCAUAUCUGCGGAAUAGCUCCGGGAAACUGGAAUUAAUACCGCAUACGCCCUACGGGGGAAAGAUUUAUCGGGGAUGGACGAGCCCGCGUUGGAUUAGCUAGUUGGUGGGGUAAAGGCCUACCAAGGCGACGAUCCAUAGCUGGUCUGAGAGGAUGAUCAGCCACAUUGGGACUGAGACACGGCCCAAACUCCUACGGGAGGCAGCAGUGGGGAAUAUUGGACAAUGGGCGCAAGCCUGAUCCAGCCAUGCCGCGUGAGUGAUGAAGGCCUUAGGGUUGUAAAGCUCUUUCACCGAUGAAGAUAAUGACGGUAGUCGGAGAAGAAGCCCCGGCUAACUUCGUGCCAGCCGCCGCAGUAACAC
rnacentral:rRNA from 1 species